AGUGAACGCUGGCGGUAGGCCUAACACAUGCAAGUCGAACGGCAGCACAGUAAGAGCUUGCUCUUACGGGUGGCGAGUGGCGGACGGGUGAGGAAUACAUCGGAAUCUACUUUUUCGUGGGGGAUAACGUAGGGAAACUUACGCUAAUACCGCAUACGACCUACGGGUGAAAGCAGGGGAUCUUCGGACCUUGCGCGAUUGAAUGAGCCGAUGUCGGAUUAGCUAGUUGGCGGGGUAAAGGCCCACCAAGGCGACGAUCCGUAGCUGGUCUGAAAGGAUGAUCAGCCACACUGGAACUGAGACACGGUCCAGACUCCUACGGGAGGCAGCAGUGGGGAAUAUUGGACAAUGGGCGCAAGCCUGAUCCAGCCAUACCGCGUGGGUGAAGAAGGCCUUCGGGUUGUAAAGCCCUUUUGUUGGGAAAGAAAAGCAGCAGGUUAAUACCCCGCUGUUCUGACAGUACCCAAAGAAUAAGCACCGGCUAACUUCGUG
rnacentral:rRNA from 1 species